rnacentral:rRNA from 1 species
GACGAACGCUGGCGGCGUGCUUAACACAUGCAAGUCGAACGGGGCUACUAUGAUGGAGUUUUCGGACAACUGAUUAGUAUGCCUAGUGGCGGACGGGUGAGUAACGCGUGAGUAACCUGCCUUUCAGAGGGGGACAACAGCUGGAAACGGCUGCUAAUACCGCAUAAUAUAUACAGGUCGCAUGAUUUGUAUAUCAAAGAUUUAUCGCUGGAAGAUGGACUCGCGUCUGAUUAGCUAGUUGGCGGGGUAACGGCCCACCAAGGCGACGAUCAGUAGCCGGACUGAGAGGCUGAUCGGGCCACAAUGGGAACUGAGACACGGGUCCAUACUCCUACGGGAGCAGCAGUAGGGAAUCUUCCACAAUGGGCGCAAGCCUGGAUGGAGCAACACCGCGUGAGUGAAGAAGGGUUUC